rnacentral:lncRNA from 1 species
AGGAAAGAACAAGGAAGUGCUGUCUACACUCAUGAGGAACGGUCUCCCGGGUAGGGUGUGACUUGGCCGGAGCGAGGCGAGAGACAGAAGCUCUGAGAGUUAAGGAGCUUUUCCCGGGCCUCGUGGCCACCGAGCAGGAAACAGCAACCAGGCCACCCUCUCCUCUGCUUUGUCAUCUAUCAAAUGAGGAUGCUGACUUCUAGGACACAGUAUGAAGAGAAUUACGAUUUAGCCUAAGUCCAUGGCUCAGCGAACCUGCGGAGGAGGGGCUGGAACCUUCUAGGAGGAUGACAAGCUGACCUUUGACUGGAGUCCUGAAGAACAAGCAGCUGGUGGCCAGGUGGAGAGGAGAAGAGUGCUCCGGGAGAAGCACCAGCCUUGACGAAGGUUUGCAGGGACGAGGGCCUGCGGCUCCUCUAGGGGGGUGCCUGGAGUCACCUAGCUCUGAGCAGCUCAAACCCUGAGGCCGGAUCUGACGAUGACGCAGAAAGCCAGUGCCUAGCCCGGAGCCUGGCGCACAACAGGUGCUUAUGAAGGAAGGAAUCCCGAUAACACAGCCAGGAAAAUACCUUGCUUGAACUGCAAGAAAACAGCCUGUUAGCCUCUGGUGAAAGUUGACUUAGGGAAUAUAAGCGUCAUAUUAUAUGGCGAACGGGUACAAGGAUAUUUGGAACCUUCCUUCUAAAACACCGAUCCGAAGGGAAGAGGGAGUAUCUGUUGCAAACCUUCCUGUUUCUGUCCUUGUUCCACGUGCUUCACGUGUGUAUCUCAUCUCACGGAGGACCUCCCUCACGGGGAUGUGAGGAGCGUUAUUAUCCCCACUUUACAGAUAAGGAAACUGAGGUUCAGAGAGUUUACAUGACAAGGUCCUGCAGCCAGUGUGUGGGUUCAAACCUAGUCUGUCUGGUUUUAAAGCCUAUUGUCUUCUCUGCA